AAAAUAAAUAUAAUUCAUCUCUGAUGGACUUCCUGCUUUACGGUUUAUCGGAAGGACGAAGGGCGAAGGAAGCCGGAAUCAAAUCCCAAAAAUGUCCAUCGCCACUCUUUCUCCCUUCUCCUCCACCGGACCCUUCUUCCCCCGAAACCCUAAUUCUAAACCCCUAAUUCGAACACAAAUAGGAGCUCGCUGGAGAGAUCAAGCUCCGUCCAAGGCGAUAUCGCUCGUUCCUCGUCGAACGUCCAUUGAACCGGCGACGACCACUUUCUUGAGCAGCGGACGUUCUGGAGGGUCCGCCGCUGCAAUACCAGCGGCUCAGAUUUCUGGAGAAACUGUCCAAUCUAAUGCAGAGAAAUGGAGCAAAACAGCAAUGUUGGUCAUAGAUAUGCAGAAUGAUUUUAUUUUGCCAGAUAGACCGAUGUGUGUGGCUGGAGGCCAAGCUAUUGUCCCAUCUGUCAUCCAGGCCAUUUCUGUUGCAAGAGAGCGUGGAAUUUUUGUGAUAUGGGUUGUUCGAGAACAUGAUCCUUUAGGAAGAGAUGUAGAGCUCUUCCGCAGGCACUUGUAUACUGAUGGUGAAGGACCUGCUAUGAAUGGUUCCAAAGGUGCAGAUCUAGUUGAUGGACUCUUGAUAAAGGAAGGAGAUUACAAGUUGGUGAAGACACGCUUCAGUGCAUUCUGUGCCACACAACUUCAUUUGCUUCUUCAGACCUCUGGAGUCAAGAGCUUGGUUGUUGUGGGAGUUCAAACACCAAAUUGUAUUAGGCAGACUGUCUUCGAUGCAGUAUCCUUGGAUUACCAAUCUGUUACUGUCAUUGUCGAUGCAACAGCUGCUGCUACUCCUGAAAUUCAUCUUGCCAACAUCAGAGACAUGAAAAACAUUGGAGUGGCAACACCAACUUUGCAGGAAUGGUGCAGCUUGGAUGCUUAAUUGUGGUUCCUGGUGGUAAAGAAGUUUUCUUUGUAGAUCCACAUCUCAAUUGUGAUGCUUAGUUGAAUAAAGCUGAACAUGUACAUGUGUCAUUUUCACUUGGCAAAGAUUCACCUGACUUGGUUCGCAUUAGCUUAUCGGUUUCAUUGCUUCUGAGGGACGCACAAGGAUCUCCAAAUACUAUCAGCUGCCCUUGACAAAUCUGCUUAAGUUAAAACCUUCCAAAGAUGGGAUGCUAACCAUCUAUUCUUUGCUCCAUCGUAACAAACGCUAGUCAAUUUACUGCACAGUUCUUAUGAUUUUUAGAACCCAAAAUUGCUGAUUUUGCCCUUAAGCUUGUACCGCUGUUUUGUAUCAGGCACAGGUCAUGUGAUAUAGACCCCCAUUGUCAAUUGAUGGAAGAGCGCAAAAGAGACAAGCAACAGGUUGAUCUCUGUUAUGGAAGGAAGCGAGCAGAAGAUAUCGUGAGAAGAGUCGAUUUGAUGUCUGGAAAGGACCCAAGGACCUGCCAAAUCUUUCUAAUGAUCCCAAAGUAUCUAUUGCACAAUCUAAUGAUUGACAUCGGAAAAAAGAGCUGAAUCAUUCUCUCGCAUGGAGGAACAAUCCACACCCUAAGAGACAUUGGGUGAAAGUUAGUGUACGCUGGAAUGUAUGGUGAGACUUGUCUUGUUCUAAAGGGAGAGCAUGGUCUGAGCUCAACAGCCGUGCAGUAAUCCAUGCAGCCGCAAGGUCUAGAGUGGAAAAGCAGUGCUUGCGCAAAUCACGCUGCCUGUUCAAACAGGCCUAGUGAUAAGGUCAACGAGAUGGUUCGUCAUGAUCUUCAUUUGGAAGAGCUGGUCAAACUUUACUGGAAUGUUCUUGCGACGAGUUUGGUUCAUUGAUUACUUCAAAGAUGUAGAAGAAACAGUUGUGUAGAGGGAACUUUUGGUCAUAGUAUUGACGCAAAAACAGAAUAGGUACGAUGGAUUGAGAAUGAAAUUGUUGUCUUUUUUCACCUGAUAGAUAAUAUUUAACAAAAAGAAUAUAGUUUGAUUUGUUC